AGUCACUGACAUUAGAUACCCGUGUAGUCCAGGGUGUAAACGCUGCAGACUUGGUGUUGGGGCCCUUUGGGGGCAUUCAGUGCCGGAGAGAAGUUGUUAAGUCUGCUACUUGGGAGUACGUCCGCAAGGAUGAAACUUAAAGGAAUUGGCGGGGGAGCACCGCAACGGGAGGAGCGUGCGGUUUAAUUGGAUUCAACACCGUAAAACUCACCAGGGAAGACUGUUACAUGAAAGCCGAGAUGAAGACUCUGCUAGAUUUUCAG
rnacentral:rRNA from 1 species